rnacentral:rRNA from 1 species
GAACGCUAGCGGCAGGCUUAACACAUGCAAGUCAGGGGUAUGCCGAUUUAUCGGCAGAGACCGGCGCACGGGUAGCGUAACGCGUAUGCAAUCUACCUUUCACAGAGGGAUAGCCCAGAGAAAUUUGGAUUAAUACCUCAUAGUAUAGCAGUUUCGCAUGAAACCACUAUUAAAGUCACAACGGUGAAAGAUGAGCAUGGCGUCCCAUUAGCUAGUUGGUAAGGUAACGGCUUACCAAGGCAACGAUGGGUAGGGGUCCUGAGAGGGAGAUCCCCCACACUGGUACUGAGACACGGACCAGACUCCUACGGGAGGCAGCAGUGAGGAAUAUUGGACAAUGGGCGCAAGCCUGAUCCAGCCAUGCCGCGUGCAGGAUGACGGUCCUAUGGAUUGUAAACUGCUUUAUACAGGAAGAAACACUACUUCGUGAAGUAGCUUGACGGUACUGUAAGAAUAAGGAUCGGCUAACUCCGUG